AUCUAGAAACCCAAAUUCUUUACAAGCAGAUCUGACCAGAAUUCUAUACAACAGUUUUUAUUUAAAACACACAUAAUGUUACUUAUACAAAUCACAACGAUAGAGAUACAGAGUUAAAGUGACAUGGUUUGAGUUCAAUUGACUUUGGCUACAUCUCAUAUUCUUAUAUGCUAGUGCACUAAAUGGAGAAUAGGGUAUUAUUUGCGACUGAGCCUUAGAAUGUGUAUAUUUCCCAUGUCGGUAUCAAUAGUUCCGAUACAUUCUAGUUCAGAAUGUAAAUGAGAACGUUAUUGUCAUGGAACGUUUGAUGCUGAAAUGGAUUUAACAGAACUCUGUUCAUCUAUCCACCUCAUUGUCGAACGUUGCUAUGGGCACGGCCAAACAACGGAAGUGAAGGAUUCGACUUCUGCUUUACUUACCACUGCAACGCGCUGGUGGCAAUCUUGCCAGAGUAAAUUAUUGGAAAGAGACAAUUUAUAGAGUAUAACAGUCAAGUAUAAGUGUAAUUGAGUACGUGUAAUUGUAUAUGUAUUUCAUUCAAGUAGGCUAGUUCUGUUGUGAUAAUACUGUUAGUUGUGUUGUGUCAGAGUUUAGGCCCGGGCCAUCCACCCAAUAACUAUAACGAUAACUAUAAACUAUAGGCUGCACAAUUAUAAAACGUCGCUGAGCAUCCAUACUAGAGGAAAGUGUAUCGUUUAUCGUUCUACAGUCCUACACCUGUCAAUCAACUGAUCAAACCAAUCUACUGCACGCUUCCUAUCAAUAAGGUGGUAACACAAGACCAUUCAUGAGGUCUCUAACACACAGAAUCUGGUUCAGACCAUUCAUGAGGUCUCUAACACACAGAAUCUGGUUCAGACCAUUCCUGAGGUCUCUAACACACAGAAUCUGGUUCAGACCAUUCAUGAGGUCUCUAACACACAGAAUCUGGUUCAGACCAUUCAUGAGGUCUCUAACACACAGAAUCUGGUUCAGACCAUUCAUGAGGUCUCUAACACACAUAAUCUGGUUCAGACCAUUCAUGAGGUCUCUAACACACAGAUACCAGUUCAGACCAUUCAUGAGGUCUCUAACACACAGAAUCUGGUUCAGACCAUUCAUGAGGUCUCUAACACACAGAAUCUGGUUCAGACCAUUCAUGAAGUCUCUAACACACAUAAUCUGGUUCUGACCAUUCAUGAGGUCUCUAACACACAGAAUCUGGUUCAGACCAUUCAUGAGGUCUCUAACACACAGACACUGGUUCAGAUCAUUCAUGAGGUCUCUAACACACAGAAUCUGGUUCAGACCAUUCAUGAGGUCUCUAACACAAAGAUACUGGUUCAGAUCAUUCAUGAGGUCUCUAACACACAGAAUCUGGUUCAGACCAUUCAUGAGGUCUCUAACACACAGAAUCUGGUUCAGACCAUUCAUGAGGUCUCUAACACACAUAAUCUGGUUCAGACCAUUCAUGAGGUCUCUAACACACAGAUACUGGUUCAGACCAUUCAUGAGGUCUCUAACACACAGAUACUGGUUCAGACCAUUCAUGAGGUCUCUAACACACAGAAUCUGGUUCAGACCAUUCGGUGCUUUCAGGGUGUGUUCAUUGUCAUAGUGACAACUGCAAAUUAUAAUAUGUGAAUCAAGGCCUAAUGAAAAGCAAUAUAGUACCUCAAAUUUAAAUGUAGCAAUUCAACAACAAACACUGUUUAGCCUGCACAUAUUUUACAGCAUGUAUUUGCCCUCUUGCUCAAGUGGGUUGCAAGUGAUUUUUUGAGGUCUUCUUUUUUACAGUUCUCAUCUCUGUAUGUCCUCUGAAACUAUUUGCAAUGUAUCAGUGCAACAAUAUUAUCAUAACCGGCCAAAAGUGAUCACACGAUUUCCUCAACUUUCCCCAACAUGCGUUUUCUAUGCUGUAGGCCUGUUUUACAUUCGGCAAUUAGCAAGAGCAAGCCUGCUUCUUUCCCAUCGAACAGACUAUUAGGCCUAGUAUAAAAAAGGAUCAAACUACAUGUGCUAUAGCUGUUGUAAGUAAGAAGGUAAAUAUUAGCUAGAUAUUAGGCCAUAAAAUUAUUAUACCUGAUAUUAUUGUUAUCAAGUGAGUACACAAUUAUUGUCUAUAUGCUGUAAACUGCAGUGAUGUAGGCUAAUUAGAAUAACCGCUCACACAUCCUGUUUUGUUUCAUACCGAAAUAACUGCAUACAGUAGCGUACCAGCCUAGGCCUGAGUAUGCAGCCAUUUGGAUCAGUCUGGGUCUAUUCUUGACAGUUUAGAAGGUCCAGAAAGGUACAUUAUUAGGUCACUCAUACGGUGUAGGCCUAUUUAGUCAGGAUGUAGUCCGCUGGUUAACAGGAUAGGACAAUACGGGCUCCUCCUUUCCAACUCCCUGCCCGUUCUUAACGCUGUAGCCUAUUUCACAUCCAGCAAGCAGGCCGCAAGCGUGCAUCUCUCCUCCAAUAGGAUAUUAGUAGGCUAAAGAAAAUAAGUCGAAAUACCUGUCAAAUAAGUUUUUGUAGACUGGCUUUUCCUUGGACUCCACAAUAUUUAAAAGGAAUAGCCGUGGCAGCGGAGAGGAUAAGUGCGUAAUUGCUCAUCAGAGCAAUGAAGACAGACAGACAGGCUGGGGAUGUACUGUGACCUACAGCCUAAGUUAGAAGCUUAUGCAUAUCAGACCAUAAUUCAUGAGCUCAAUGUUAGGCAUAAUACUGCAGUCAAUUUAUCCAGUCAAUUUACACAGUGAAAGAAAAAGUGCUUUUCAGAUAGUGAAAUCAUAGUUAGCGCUCCCGAUUCUGCGCUGAGUGCGGUCCCUCCAAGUCCGUGGGUACAUUGUUUUUUAGGGACAAGAAAUGUACCCUACCUAGGCUACAACAACACAAUGCAAUGAAGUAUGUUAUUAUUGUUUUCAAGUGCGUAGAAAACUCUAGUCUGGGCCAUAAACUGCAGUGAAUACCCUAUGUCAUUUGAAUAACCGCUCAAAAGCCUGGCUUUUAAAAUACAUAUUAAUUUGGAAAUAAAUGAAACUAACAUGCCUGACUGGACAACCAUUUGGAUCUGUUAUGUUUUUGUUAUGAGCAGUUCAGCCUACAAGGUCCAGGCACAUCAGCAGGACAAUAACACACGGUGUAUUUUGUCAUGAUUUCUCCGCUAACAGAAACAUGCUAAUGCAGGAGUUCCUAGUGGCGCGCAUAUGAAUUAUGAUAAUGCGCAAGCGCGGAGAAACAUGUAUCCAUAGUUUCCGCGUUUGGCGUCAUAUUUUAAAAGCGUUCGAAAAUGAGGUGGAUAACUCCCUAUACAAACAUUUAGAUAAUCAAUUUCACAUUCACAGCUGUUCUUCUACUGUACACUGAAGUUUCUCUUAGAUACAGAUCUAGGAUCAGCUUACCCAUCCUCCAAUCGUAACCUUAACUAUUAGCGGGAAAACUUAACUUAACUUAACUAGCGGGAAAACCACAAAACUGCUCUUAGAUCAUUGUCUAGGAUUCAACUUCAUCCCCAAGUCGAGCUGUAUGUAUACUUAGUUUAGAUGUGCUAUUUAAUGGUGCAGUGUCCCUUUUUAUUUGCUAUCCGUGGCACAUUGAAACAACGCAAAAGAAAGUAUUUUCAGUGUCUGUCUUUCUCCAUGCCUUUCUUCGUUAGUUUAAAACCCAUACUUUAAAAAAAAUGUUAGGACUAUAUCCUCUGCAAGUGUGGUCUCAAUAUCAUUUUUCCCUGGGGGCCAUAUUACUUAAAUCGGCUCAGGGGCCACUUUUGGAUCAUGGGCCUGUAGUUUAAGACCCCUGAUCUACAAGCACUGAGCAGAUACAGUAAGCAUUGUGAAUAACGUUAGAUGGAGGAACUUAGGCAUCUGUGCAGAUGUACAAAGCUACUUCAUAUAGUACACCACAAGCAGAGGCUUCAGUACAGAAUAAAACUUGUCUAAUAUUGUGAUUGAUGACUACAUUUCCCACAAUUCAUCUUGCGCUGAAAACUUGCCCUUGAAAAUAAGUCAACCCACUACAUCAUACUCAAAUCUCACUGACCCUCAUACAGAGUAGCUGUUGCUUAUGUAAAACUAUGUCGUGUUUCAUUUGAUAUGUUUAUAUUUAUAUAUAUAUAUAGUGUUUUUUAUUAUUCUCUUAAGACAUACAUUUUAAAACUUGAGGUGGUGAAACUGUAAAGUUGGGUUUUCUUUGGUUACCAGGUUGUUUUUCUUGUUGUUGUUUACAAGUGGAGAAAAGGUGGGAUCCUACACCUUUGUUGUGUGUGUGCGUGUGUUUGUGUGCGAUCCUACGCAGUUUCACACGUGGCAUUUCAGGGACGCAUCAUCCCACCGCCUCCCCAACACCCCCGCGCUCUGUGGUAAGAAUCUACCGGAAUGGCGUCUGUUUGUGUUCUAGAUUUAGCAUUGUCCAGGGCAACCAGCUGAACCUUCCCAUAAUUGGAGUUGGUUGCUAUGGGUAUAUAUUUCCAUCUUUUUAGUCACAGUGUGCAUCCCAAACGGCACCCUAUCCUCUAUAUAGUGCACUACUUUAGACCAGAGCUCUAUGGGCCCAGGUCAAAAGUAGUGCACUACGUAGUGAACAGGGUGCCAUGUUGGACGUGGCCUGUAACUUUUCUCAGAUGUACUCCUGUCUAGGUUAUGUAUGAGCCACGUUAAAUAAAUAAUUGAGGGAAUAACUUAAUAAAAACGUGACACCCACCUUGACACAAGCUGACUUGUGCUCCUCAUCCUCAACCAACCCCAUUUAGUUUACCCCAGCAAGGUCAUAGCCAUGUCUUGUAGUGUUGUACUGCUCACUGCUAAGUACUGUAAUACUGAAGCAUAACAUUAAUGAUUGAUUGGUUGAUUGAUUGAGUGGCUAACUAAGUGAUUGGGGGGGAGGGAGGGGGGGGGGGGUGUAUUCUAUAGCCUCAUUCCUCUCCCCCUUCAGUAUCCAUAGAUCUGACCGAAGCUAAAACAUCAUCAUACUGCCUAUCCACCUACCAAGUCAUUUCAGAUCUGUGAAUACAGGAAGAAAGAUAGAAAACAUUUGAGACACAAUUCUGUUGAGUGAUAUUGAGUCAGAAUUUUGGGGGGUGCUAAAAUCACUCCAUACACUCCCAUCCUUCCAGACCAAACUAGACUCCGUUUCCUCAAAAGCCUUAUCCCUUGACCCAUGACCCCUCUCAGUCGGACCACUCCCCGUUGUCCUCCCCGCCGGAGUCAGACUCUGAUUCGCUGUACUCGACGGCGAUGCGACGUGAGAGAAUGGUGGCCACGUCGUUUCCUACGGGCUCUCUCUUCGCUUCCUGCUCUCUCUGCUCCUGUACCUUCCUCAAUUGGA
rnacentral:lncRNA from 1 species